GUGGAGGGCGGGAGGUGGGGAGAAUUAUUAUCCCGCCUCGAAACCAAGGGACUGAGAGAGGUUAAGAGGCACUAAGUUGGGAGGAGAAGGCACAGCCCCAGCAGCCCACCCAGCGCUCCUGCCAGCUCCCGCCACCAGAUCAUGCUCCACUUAGAAACAAGUAAUUGUCAGGUAAUUGCCUACAAAUACUGGAGAAACAAGAGAUAAAGAGAAAAGAGGCUGCGCCAGAGGGCGGCACAGAAAGGAUCUCGUAUGCAAUUCAGCCUGGCCUUGAAUUCACUGUGUAGCCCAAGCUGGUCUCAGACUCGCAGCAAUCCUCUUGAAGUAUAAUCAUAGGCACCUACCAUCACACCCCACCGUCUUUAUUUUCCUCUUUUUAAUGUCUUUAUCACUGGGUAACACUUCUCUGUACUUUUUUCAAUUCCUCUUAACCUGUCAUUAAUUCUAAAAUAAAAGUUAAAUAAUGAAAGAA